rnacentral:rRNA from 1 species
AGUCGAGGGGCAGCGGGGCGGCAGGCUUGCCUGCCGUUGCCGGCGACCGGCGCACGGGUGAGCAACACGUAUGCAACCUGCCCGUGGCAGGGGGAUAAGCGGGGGAAACCCCGUCUAAUACCGCGUAACGCGGCCUAGGGACAUCCCAAGGCCGCCAAAGGGAGCAAUCCCGGCCACGGAUGGGCAUGCGGCGCAUUAGCUAGUCGGCGGGGUAACGGCCCACCGAGGCGACGAUGCGUAGGGGUUCUGAGAGGAAGGCCCCCCACACUGGUACUGAGACACGGACCAGACUCCUACGGGAGGCAGCAGUGAGGAAUAUUGGUCAAUGGGCGCGAGCCUGAACCAGCCAAGUCGCGUGAGGGAGGACGGCCCUACGGGUUGUAAACCUCUUUUGCCGGGGAGCAACGGGCGCCACGUGUGGCGCCACUGAGAGUACCCGGAGAAAAAGCAUCGGCUAACUCCGUGCCAGCAGCCGCGGUAAUACGGAGGAUGCGAGCGUUAUCCGGAUUUAUUGGGUUUAAAGGGUGCGUAGGCGGAUCGUUAAGUCAGUGGUCAAAUUGAGGGGCUCAACCCCUUCCCGCCAUUGAAACUGGCGAUCUUGAGUGGAAGAGAAGUAUGCGGAAUGCGUGGUGUAGCGGUGAAAUGCAUAGAUAUCACGCAGAACCCCGAUUGCGAAGGCAGCAUGCCGGCUUCCUACUGACGCUGAAGCACGAAAGCGUGGGGAUCGAACAGGAUUAGAUACCCUGGUAGUCCACGCGGUAAACGAUGAGCGCUAGGUGUCCGGGGGGAAUGGCCCCUGGGCGCCACAGCGAAAGCGUUAAGCGCUCCACCUGGGGAGUACG